UGUGGACCUCUCGUCCUUCUCUUCCCUAGAUUAAAAUAUCCCAGCUCUUUGUACCUCUUCUUGUAACCAUGUCCCCCAGGCCCAGGAUCAUCUGACUGCCCUUUGUUCAACUUUUCUUUCUGAACCAGGGGACCCCAAGCCACACCUCACAUGGUAUUGCUAAUGUUGAUAAGCUCUUCCGCAGCUUCUUUCCCAAAAAUGAUGAGAUGGUGUUGAAAGCCUCUCUGAAGUCAAGCAUCCAUUGUUACUCCCCUCCCAGUUCCCACAGGAGGCAUUUAAUCACAAAAGGCAAUUUUGUCAGUCAGGCCAAGUUGGAUUUAAUGAAUCUUGGACCAUUCCCUAGUGCUCUCCUGCCCUAUUAGAUGUUUGGAGUGGCCUCAAGAGGCUGCAUUUCUUGCACCUUUGCAGGAUCCAAGACAAGGCUGACUCCAUAUGCGAUCUUGCCAGAAGGUCCUGUCCAAGAAGAAAGAACUUAAAAUUUUAAAAAAAGGAUACUUCAGUACAAUCAAAAGACAACUUUGUCUCCUCUUAAAAGGCCUGUUUUAUUUGUACGUAUUCCAGCUUGAGGAAGGUCACGUG